CUACGGGCGGCUGCAGUGAGGAAUGUUGCACAAUGGGGGGAACCCUGAUGCAGCAACGCCGCGUGGAGGAUGACGCAUUUCGGUGUGUAAACUCCUUUUAUAUGUCAAGAAAAUGACGGUAGCAUAUGAAUAAGCACCGGCUAACUCCGUGCCAGCAGCCGCGGUAAUACGGAGGGUGCAAGCGUUACUCGGAAUCACUGGGCGUAAAGGACGCGUAGGCGGGUUGGAAAGUCAGGUGUGAAAUCCUACAGCUUAACUGUAGAACUGCACUUGAAACUUCUAAUCUAGAGUAUGGGAGGGGGAGAUGGAAUUAGUGGUGUAGGGGUAAAGUCCGUAGAUAUCACUAGGAAUACCUAAAGCGAAGGCGAUCUCCUGGAACAUUACUGACGCUAAGGCGUGAAAGCGUGGGGAGCAAACAGGAUUAGAUACCCCAGUAGUC
rnacentral:rRNA from 1 species